UUUACUUUACCUCACCGCAACUAGAAUGGAUAUCAUGUUUGCUAGUCAUAGGUGCCCAGCAAGCCAAUCACGUGAGUGAUGGUACGUGUGACUUGAUACAGAAUCUUUUUGCUUAUUAUAUUUUGGCGUAUAUCACUUUAUAACUAUUGCAUAAAUGCAUAUAUAUAUUGUGAUGUCCUUGGAUUUGUGCAAUAGGAAUCGGAU
rnacentral:lncRNA from 1 species